AUGUCCUUCGGUGUCCAAAGAAUCUGUAUUGUACGUAGGCGUUCUUUGGAUAGCCCUCGAGGCUUUGUCAUAAUCACACAACGAAAUCAUUCGAUGUCGUUAAAACCGGCUGUGAGCUAUCUGCUGUCAGCGGUUUUACCGCUCGGACGCUGGUUGACUUGCAGUUUUGUUUUCUUGCAAAAUUCUACCGCCUUGGCGACUUUCCAAAUUUUCAAAACUGUUUGUUACGUAUAUCGCCAAACCUCAUUAUAUUUUACAAUAUUUUAACUGCGUACUUACGUAUUUUUAGCUGCUACUUCUUUUCUGUAUAUCUCAAUGAGUAGAAUCAUAUGCAAUGUUUUUAUGUUUUUAGAAAAAUUGAGAACUAAAGGAAGACCUUCCUUGUAAAUAUCGGUCUUUUUAAAAGUAGGAGAUAAACGCGUAUGAAAUAUUGACGCCAAAAAUGUCGCCAAACAUUCAAUACCGACUUUGAAAGAGUGGUAACAUAAUCGUGAUGUUGUUAAAACAUGUAUUUGAGUUAUUUCUGUGAGAGUUAAAUAAUUUAAUGUUGGACGUAUGUAUAAAUAAUAAUAUCAUACCGUUUUGAAAUUAUUAUGUUUUCUGAUGUUUGAGAUGGAAGAUAUUUCAGUAAUACCAAAAUAAACACAUUAGUUUUAAGCAUGAAACUCUCAGAAUCUGUAAUGUGUUUAUUAAAUACAUAUAAGCGAAACAUGCCACAUAAGUUAUACUUCAUGCAACUGACCGCCUGAAUCUAUGUUAAAUAUUUGUGAACAUCUGAAAAUUUGAAAAGAGACAUGUGAGAAGGUUCUGAUUUUGUUGCUGUGGAGAUUAGCACAAAACUCCUUAGAAGAUAUAUGAAA